rnacentral:lncRNA from 1 species
AAUACUUUAGUCUCAUUUGGAGGAGGAGACGACAGGACAGAAUAGAGGCACCUGCACAUACACCUGGGUGAGCCUGGCCAUCUGUUCUAGUGCCUCUGACACAGAGUUGGGCUGAGUUAGCUGGCAGGAGGCCAUGGACCCUGCAGGAGAGAAAAGGAGAGAUUGUGCAUCCUGGGGAAGUCAAUCAGCAACUGCUCAAUCAAGAAUGGCCGCCCAGCGUGAAAAGAAAGAGCAGCCUGCCCAGGAAUGGCGCCGCCCACACUUCCCGUGCCGCUGACGACAACAGAAGCGGACAAAGAAACAAGACGCAGCAAAUAGACACCAAGAACAGACAACGAGGGGAGGGGGGGAAAUUAAAUAAAUAAAUAAAUCUUUAAAAAAAAAAAAAAAAAAAAAAAAAAAAGAAUGGCCCAGAUGUUACAUCAUGAUGUUGGGCCUGCGUUGCU